rnacentral:rRNA from 1 species
GUAGUCUCGCACAGAUGCAUAUCAAUAAGCGGAGGAAAAGAAACUAACAAGGAUUCCCUUAGUAACGGCGAGUGAAGCGGGAAGAGCUCAAAUUUGAAAUCUUCAAGGUUUUACCUUGACGAAUUGUAGUUUAAAGAAGUGUUUUCUGUUGAAGUUUUGGUAAAAGUUCUUUGGAAUAGGACAUCAUAGAGGGUGAGAAUCCCGUAUUUGACCAUUAUUUUCAGCUGUGUGAUACACUUUCAAAGAGUCGGAUUGUUUGGGAAUGCAGUCCAAAAUGGGUGGUAAAUUUCAUCUAAAGCUAAAUAUUGGCGAGAGACCGAUAGCGAACAAGUACCGUGAGGGAAAGAUGAAAAGAACUUUGAAAAGAGAGUUAAACAGUACGUGAAAUUGUCAAAAGGGAAGCGUUUGACACCAGUGUUGUUUUCUCGAAAAUCAAUUAAAAAGAGUUAGAUUUUGUUGUGUAUUGACCUUAACAGCUUGCAUUUCAAUUUUCUUGCUUUUUUUAAUGCACUUUUCGUUUAACAAGUCAACAUCAGUUUCUUUUGUUGUAAAAAGGUCAUUGGAAGGUGGCUUUCUUUUCGGAGAAAGUGUUAUAGCCUUUGACUCCUGCAAUCGGAGAGACUGAGGUCUGCAGCGUAGAUCCCUCGGGGUUAGAUACAUUUGUGCUAAGUUAUAGCUUUUUAUAGACAACUUGUUGACUAUGAUUAGUCUUGUAGCUUACUCGCUUAUGCUAUUUUACCUACGCUUAGGAUGUUGAGCGCAUGUCUCUCUCU